GUCGGGGCUGGUCUGUCCCCUCCUCCCAGUUUAAUUUAAACCCCUGACACUGCAGGAUGUCCACUCCUGUAGACGCAUCUCCAAAGAGCCUCCUCCCUCCCCGAGAGUCCUCACAACUAGGUCCACGGCAUUGCUCCACCUCCUAGAUUUGUUCACCUGAAGAUGCUUUUCUUGCAAAAAAGAAGACUCUGCAGAAUCCGUCAGUCAGCCUUGAUUUUGGAGAAGGUGGGACUUGUUCAGAAGUUAUAGGAUGGGAGUUGCUGCCCAGGAACGGGCAGUCUGUUGGGCUUCAGACCGUUACUUUGCUCCAGGGCAGAGGCAGACCACGGGGAAGAAGAGGAAAAUUCCUCUCUGCCCACUGGUAAAUUCUCAGCAGUUUGGGAAACCUGUGUUUUUGUUUUCCUCCAAGAAAACCCCAUUUGAAGAACAUGCUUAAGCAUGAAAGGUUCAAGAAGGCCACCCAGUGUCAAUUUUGCCCCAACACAUUUGUGAUUCUUAAAGUUUCUGCUCCUGCCUCUGUGCAAGUCAACAUCUAAGACAGAGACGGGAAUUUAACUGAGAAAGUUCCAGCAGAGUUUAAAUGUAGAUUCGGUUAAAAUAGCACAUUCUAAUAUAAUCCACAAGGGAUUAUGCAGAAUAGAUACCGGGAGAGCUGGAAGAGGGCGAGAGGGGAAGUAGGUGUUCCCAGGUUUCGAAUUUAUUACACACUCAGAGUCUAAGAAAGGGUGAUAAAGGAGAAUGUGUGUGUGUGCGCGCGCGCGCGCGUGUGUGUUGGGGGAGUGCUAAAACCCUCCUUCUUAAUAAAUUGUCCAAAAGGACCAAUUGCAUCAAUUCCUUGUACAUUUUGUUACUGAAUUAAGACCAGGAGCAUGUGACUCUCUUCGGUACAGACUAGGAGGGGAGGCUCUGCUGCCCGCAUCCUGCCUGGGAGAUGCUGCAGUGCGCUGUGGCCAAGACGGGUACAGCCCUGCGCCGUUGCCCUCACCCACCCUCCUGGCUCAGGGGCCUUGGCAGGCAGCAGGAGAAAACUAGGUUAAAUGGAGAAAGUGAUCAUCUGCCUGGAAGAUGCUCUAGAAUAGAAGCUCUGGAGUCAGUGUCAGGGUCUUUCCCGUCUCAGGAUGAGAUGGAGCCCGGAGUAGCCCGGAGCAGCCUCCCUGGAGCCCGGCUGGGCUGGCUAAGCUCAGCUCUGCACUGGAAGAUUCCCUGCGUCUUAAGUCACAGAAAGCCCCUUGGCCUUUGGAUGGCAAAACAUCUGGGUCGGGGCUGGAUGGGAAUGCGUCACAGUGGCUUUUCUUUCCGGAUGAGUAAAGCUUUCUUUGAUGCCCGCGGCCUUUUCUCCACCAACACAAAACCACAGCCCCCGCCCCGGGCCGGGGAAGGAGAUGGUGGCGUGCACUGUCAGUAGAAGAGACAGGCUUGCCCACCCCAGUCCUCCCCUAGUUCACCAUGACCGUGGCCUUGUGUGGAAGUGCUACCCUGGAGGGCACGCGGCUCACGAAGCCACACCCUUUCGUGACCAGUGAGAACCUUGCCAAACCAAGCAGGCCAGGUGUUUCCUGCUUCUUCCUCAGCUCUGCGGUGGCUCUUGGUGUGUUGAAGCAGAACUAUGUCUCCAAAGACCUGGGGCCAGGCUUCGUGUGCACUCCGCGGGCUUUUCUCACCUGUCUGUUUUAUCAGUGUUUAUUGAGCGUGUAGUAAGUGCAGAGCCAAGAAGAGAUGACAGUUCCAUCCUCACUGCACAGAACUGUUCGGCCUUUUCUUUGUCCUUGAACCAAACUCAAGGUCAACCUGGUGUCCAUGUGCUUUGCUAAGAUGCUGAAGAUGCUGGGGUUUACGGCUCCCGGGACAUUCUUUUCAAGGUUGUCUGUGUGUAACGGAAGGUGGAGGUGCCCUAAGGAACAAUGGGUACCUCUUAAGCCCUUGCAACCGAAUGGAAGCUACCUUCAUUGCAGGGAGGCCCUCUGGGGUCCUUGACAUUGUCACUGCGGUUCCCACGAGUACCUUUCUCUCUGUCACGGAGCCCACACCACUUGGUCUGUCUCUAAACAUCCCUGACAAAGGAGUGCUCCCUGGGCCAGUUUUCUUCAAAAUGGCCCCUCAGCACCGCCGCGUCACCGAGUCCCCUGCCCCGACUCAUCCCUCGGCACUGACCUUACACAGAACUUAUCCGUGUGGCAAUUGCAAGAGAAGUAACGUCGUGUCACCCCACUGCCAACCACACUGCAGCCUGUUAACUCGGGGAGAGUGGACGUUGGACAGGCAAGUUGCCUCGGUGGAAUGCGGAGCUCUUACCUCGCGAUGAGGAAACCUGGCCCUUCUAGGGGGCAUGUCAGGGUCCACUAUUUAAACUACAGCAGAUUUAAUGAGCCUGCUGUGUCACUUUAUUGCCGUCACUCGCUGUGUUUCUAAGCCACCAAGGGCAGCAUCUCAUGUAACAGAAAGUGAUCAAAUAAAGCAGCAGAUGGAAUUUUUUAUAUCUAACAUCCAAUUAAAAGAUUUCCUUUAAGGAGAAGCAUAAACUCCUUGAAGAAUCAGUUCCUGGCGUCCGCUCUCCCCCUCCCUCCCCGGGGGGUAAUUGGGAGCAGGCGCUGUGCUGGACUGGGAGACCAAGGACAGGUGAGGGGGCCUGUCAGGGCUGGGUUCGCGGGGUGUGCGCCCAGAGGACCGGAGGAGGCGCCCAGCCCUUCCUAAUUAGGUAGGAGAUGGCACCCAGCAGGUGUGGAGGACCUGGCUCACCGGCCAAGGUGGGCGUCGGGGCAUGGGGGGGCAUCCCUUAGCUCAACGUCCACUUUGAAGAAGAAACUCCGUUCAGCAGAUUUGAGGUUAAGGAAAGAGUGUGUUUUAGAGCAAGGGCCAGAGUCUCGUGGGUAUCGUCGUCUCGUGGAGGAGCAGGACGUCUCUCCCUAGUGGGGAAGUCCGAGAGCAGGCAGCGUCCCCCGGGCUCUGAAUUCCACAGCCUGGAAGCCAUUCCCACCCAGGGACCUAAGGGUGGGGACCGGCGUCCGGCCACAGCGGCCCCUGGCGGUGGCUUUCUUUCCCGAGCCUGUCCUGGGGUCCUAGGACCUCGGCUGCAGACUGGGAAGUCUUAGGUUUUUCCCAAGGGGAUGGGGACAAAGUCUGGGGUGUAACUUCUCAUCUCCAGAAGCUGGGGGCGGAAUCACAAGCUCAAGGCCAGCCAGCGGCCGCGUGCUCACAGCAAUCAGAAGAACAGCCCUUGAGAGAUGUGGAGUUGGAGGGUCCUAAAAGACCCUCGAGUGUCACUUGUGAUGAGCGGAAUCACCUGCCAACCCUGGGGACAGGAGCGGCAGCCUUGAGGGACAAGUUAAGCCUCCCCGUCCUCCUGUCUAAAGCACGGCCAGUCGGUGGGGAAACGGCACCUCUCACCAGGUCCCUCCCCCCGGGAGAAGCUGCCAUUUUGGGGUCCCAAUUCCUCCAUGGGACUGAACAUCGUAACUCAUAACCGGAGAGGAAAAGGCCAAUAAGAACAUUGGAAUGCUUUGCCCCAGCCCCAGGGGAGACAAGGUCUUCUGCAGCCCCAGGAAUCCCACUGGCUCAACUCAACAGCUACCCGCAAAGCUUUUAAAAUAUCUGCUAGGGUUCCUCUCCCCACUGCGAUUAGCACAAUUAGCACAUGCAUUAAUUAGAACUCCCUUCACGCUUCCCGCCUCACCUCUAAGUACCUGUUUACUGGAGCUAGUUCCCCCGAAAGCCACUGCUCAUUAAUGUUCUAUUUGUGAUUCGAAUUCCUUCAAGGACCCGCAGCUUCCUGCUAACCUUGCCCAACGUCAGGAUUUGGCAGAGAUAAGCUUACCAGAGGCCCCAUCCACAGGACACCGAACCCUAGAAGCGUCAGGAGAAUAUCGCAUGGGUUCUGGGAAGAUGCGUUUCAGAGAUCUUGGUGCAUGUUGGAAUCCACGUGCCUCUCGUUUUGUGCCAGGGACUCACCAUGCUUCCAUACCAGACUCAUCUCUGACUUAAGCCACCAUGUAAUGAACCCUCUACGACAAACCUGCAGGUGGGCUGGCAUCUGCAAUCUCAGCUAUUCGGGAGGCCAAGGCAGGAGGAUCACAAAUUAGAGGCCAGCCUGGGCGAUUCAGUGAGACCCUGUCCCAAAAUAGAAAAUAAAAAGGGCUGGGAGGGAGCUCGGAGGCAGAGCGCAAGACUAGCCUGGGCUAGGCCCUGGGUUCUAGCCCCAAUACCGUCUAGUAAAUAAAUAAAAAUAAAAUACAGGUGACACAGGCCUCUUCCAGGCGUUGAAGGGACACAGAAAUGGAGACGAGAACUGGACCUUUGAAGUGAACCCUGUGUUUGCCACGUGGAUAUGACCGCUGUCCCAGCAAUAAAACUCCACACAAAUGUAGGGGGAAGGCCGCUGGUCUUGGGCUCCUAACCCAGAGCGCGAGAACCAGGAGGUUCAAGGAAAAAAAAACUGCACAAACCCGUGACUCCUGCUUCUGCCUUGUGGGACGCUGCCCCAAAGGUGCUUUUUCUUUCUUUCUUUUUAAGCAAUUAAAGAAAAAUGUGGGUUUGGAGGUGAAGCUUGGUGGUAGAGCACUUGCCUAGCAUGCACAAGGCCCAGGUCAAUCCAGCACUGCACAAAAGUAAAUAUGAUAAAAUAGACAGAUAUAAAAUUCACCAUUUUGACCGUUUGAAAAUUUAUAAUUCAGAGGCGCUGAGUAUUGAGUCGUCACCACCUUCCACCUGCAGAACUUCUUCAUCUGCCCCAGCAGAAACUGUACUCAUUGAACACUAAACCCGCUGCCUCUCCUCCUAGCCCUGGCCCCCCACUGUUCUCCUGACUGUCCCUGUGACUUUGGCCACUCUGGGGAUGGCACGGGAGUGGAAUCGCACAGUAGUUUGCCUGCCGUGAUCAGCUUCUUUCCUUUAGCACAAAGUCCUCAGGGUUCACCUGUGGUGCGGCCUGUGUCAGGGCUGUAUUCCUCUUCAGGGCUGAGUAGCACUCCACUGUGUGGCUGGCUACCUACUUAGUCCACACAUUUAGCGGACGGUUUCCAAGUGUUUCUCUCCCCUUCGGUGGGCUGUCUUUCCAUUCUCUUGCCGGCAUCCUUCGACACCCAACCAAAUGUGACUUCACGUGGGUAAAAAAUAACAGUGGAUCCGACAAAGAUCUUUUAGCUAACGAGGUGCUGAGGAAGGGCCGAGUGUUCAGAGUCUAGCUGGCAGGACCCUCCCCACAAAACAGAAAGGCUGAAAACCACCGCAGCUGCUCUCCUGUGAACCACCAUGUCUGCAGGUGUCCGCGGCCAUCUCCGUCCUCACCCGGGCCCCCCUACGGGCUUCUCAGCAGCCGCCAGUGUUCCCCACGCGGUGGCUCCUGGGAACGCCCACCGCAGGACCAGGACCCCGCUCACUGGGUCGCUCACCAGGGCCAGGCUGUGUCCCAGGCAAGAGCUCCUGAGGCUUCUCUAGGGCCAUCUCCAUCCCCGUCCAGCCUUCCGCGGAGGCUGUGCCUCCAAACGGAUCACGUUUUACUGAACAUUCACAGGGUGUCGUACAUGGGCCCCAUUUUUCUGUUUCAGGACUGAGGUCAAACCCAGGGCCCACACCUGCUAGGCAAGUGCUCCACCAUGGAGCUGCACCCUGACCUACUCUAGUCUCUUAAUCUUGAUUUUAAAAAGAGUUGACUGUUAUUUACUGGUUCUGUCACUGAAUUUGAUAAAAUAACCCCUAACCCCUCUCAAAAAAAAAAAAAAAAAAAAA